rnacentral:rRNA from 1 species
GAUGAACGCUGGCGGCGUGCCUAAUACAUGCAAGUCGAGCGAACGGACGAGAAGCUUGCUUCUCUGAUGUUAGCGGCGGACGGGUGAGUAACACGUGGAUAACCUACCUAUAAGACUGGGAUAACUUCGGGAAACCGGAGCUAAUACCGGAUAAUAUUUUGAACCGCAUGGUUCAAAAGUGAAAGACGGUCUUGCUGUCACUUAUAGAUGGAUCCGCGCUGCAUUAGCUAGUUGGUAAGGUAACGGCUUACCAAGGCAACGAUGCAUAGCCGACCUGAGAGGGUGAUCGGCCACACUGGAACUGAGACACGGUCCAGACUCCUACGGGAGGCAGCAGUAGGGAAUCUUCCGCAAUGGGCGAAAGCCUGACGGAGCAACGCCGCGUGAGUGAUGAAGGUCUUCGGAUCGUAAAACUCUGUUAUUAGGGAAGAACAUAUGUGUAAGUAACUGUGCACAUCUUGACGGUACCUAAUCAGAAAGCCACGGCUAACUACGUGCCAGCAGCCGCGGUAAUACGUAGGUGGCAAGCGUUAUCCGGAAUUAUUGGGCGUAAAGCGCGCGUAGGCGGUUUUUUAAGUCUGAUGUGAAAGCCCACGGCUCAACCGUGGAGGGUCAUUGGAAACUGGAAAACUUGAGUGCAGAAGAGGAAAGUGGAAUUCCAUGUGUAGCGGUGAAAUGCGCAGAGAUAUGGAGGAACACCAGUGGCGAAGGCGACUUUCUGGUCUGUAACUGACGCUGAUGUGCGAAAGCGUGGGGAUCAAACAGGAUUAGAUACCCUGGUAGUCCACGCCGUAAACGAUGAGUGCUAAGUGUUAGGGGGUUUCCGCCCCUUAGUGCUGCAGCUAACGCAUUAAGCACUCCGCCUGGGGAGUACGACCGCAAGGUUGAAACUCAAAGGAAUUGACGGGGACCCGCACAAGCGGUGGAGCAUGUGGUUUAAUUCGAAGCAACGCGAAGAACCUUACCAAAUCUUGACAUCCUUUGACAACUCUAGAGAUAGAGCCUUCCCCUUCGGGGGACAAAGUGACAGGUGGUGCAUGGUUGUCGUCAGCUCGUGUCGUGAGAUGUUGGGUUAAGUCCCGCAACGAGCGCAACCCUUAAGCUUAGUUGCCAUCAUUAAGUUGGGCACUCUAAGUUGACUGCCGGUGACAAACCGGAGGAAGGUGGGGAUGACGUCAAAUCAUCAUGCCCCUUAUGAUUUGGGCUACACACGUGCUACAAUGGACAAUACAAAGGGCAGCGAAACCGCGAGGUCAAGCAAAUCCCAUAAAGUUGUUCUCAGUUCGGAUUGUAGCCUGCAACUCGACUACAUGAAGCUGGAAUCGCUAGUAAUCGUAGAUCAGCAUGCUACGGUGAAUACGUUCCCGGGUCU